UUAAAUCCUAAAAACAACAUCAAAUACUAUUGUUUUUAGAGAUGGUAUGGUAAAGUUUUCGUGAUUUAAGGAUGGUGUUGUCCGUUGGUUAUGAAAAAAGAGUUAUAAAAAUGAAGAAAAAUUAAAUCAUUACGCUGGCGAGAGUAACGGAGAGGAAGGGCCAGUGAAGCGACCAAAUCACGCAACCCCGGUCACCAGACUCACCACCCAGAAUCAGAAGCCAAAAAGCAAGGAAAGAUGCCGCAUAGAACUCGACCCAUGACAGCCCUCUUGGUGUUUACUGGACUCAAUGUUGUUUUGGCGUCAACCAUUACUCCAGUCUAUGAUUUCGUCUGCUUCCUUCCAUACUGGGAACGAAGGCGAGAACGACGACGUCAGGAACGUGAGGCAUCUUUAGUGCACUCUUAAUCAACAUAAAUGGGCCUCCAGGGAGUGGGGCUGAAGGUAGGAUCUGUCAGAGUGGGCGGACCCAGAUGAAAGGCCCAAGAAGAGAGUGAAAAUGGGUUGGGCUUUAGUAGGCAGUAGUGGUUGAACCUUGCUGGAAGAAAAUCCACUACUUAUUUUUGUACAAGUGGAGCCUUGAGUGAGGAAAGCAUGACGCUCCCGAAGACCUUUUGCCUUUUCACAUUAAUACUGUUGAUGAUCUGAAACGGACAGUUUCUAAUGAAAUUUUGGUGCCAAUAAGCUGUUGACUUUGAGGCUGUUACUGGAUUUGGGUUUGGAUAAAAACUUGGGUGGUUGGAACUUCUACUCAAA